rnacentral:rRNA from 1 species
UACGGGGGGGGCAAGCGUUGUUCGGAAUUACUGGGCGUAAAGGGCUCGUAGGUGGCCAACUAAGUCAGACGUGAAAUCCCUCGGCUUAACCGGGGAACUGCGUCUGAUACUGGAUGGCUUGAGUUUGGGAGAGGGACGCGGAAUUCCAGGUGUAGCGGUGAAAUGCGUAGAUAUCUGGAGGAACACCGGUGGCGAAGGCGGCGUCCUGGACCAAUACUGACACUGAGUGAGCGAAAGCCAGGGAGCAAACGGGG